AUGAACGCUGGCGGCGUGCCUAAUCCAUGCCAGUCGAGCGAACAGACGAGGAGCUUGCUCCUCUGACGUUAGCGGCGGACGGGUGAGUAACACGUGGAUAACCUACCUAUAAGACUGGGAUAACUUCGGGAAACCGGAGCUAAUACCGGAUAAUAUAUUGAACCGCAUGGUUCAAUAGUGAAAGACGGUUUUGCUGUCACUUAUAGCUGGAUCCGCGCCGCAUUAGCUAGUUGGUAAGGUAACGGCUUACCAAGGCGACGAUGCGUAGCCGACCUGAGAGGGUGAUCGGCCACACUGGAACUGAGACACGGUCCAGACUCCUACGGGAGGCAGCAGUAGGGAAUCUUCCGCAAUGGGCGAAAGCCUGACGGAGCAACGCCGCGUGAGUGAUGAAGGUCUUCGGAUCGUAAAACUCUGUUAUUAGGGAAGAACAAAUGUGUAAGUAACUAUGCACGUCUUGACGGUACCUAAUCAGAAAGCCACGGCUAACUACGUG
rnacentral:rRNA from 1 species